GACGAACGCUGGCGGCGUGCUUAACACAUGCAAGUCGUACGGUAAGGCCCUUUCGGGGGUACACGAGUGGCGAACGGGUGAGUAACACGUGAGUAACCUGCCCACAACUUUGGGAUAACGCUAGGAAACUGGUGCUAAUACUGGAUAUGUGCUCCUGCUGCAUGGUGGGGGUUGGAAAGCUCCGGCGGUUGUUGAUGGACUCGCGGCCUAUCAGCUUGUUGGUGGGGUAGUGGCCUACCAAGGCGGCGGCGGGUAGCCGGCCUGAGAGGGUGACCGGCCACAUUGGGACUGAGAUACGGCCCAGACUCCUACGGGAGGCAGCAGUGGGGAAUAUUGCACAAUGGGCGCAAGCCUGAUGCAGCAACGCCGCGUGCGGGAUGACGGCCUUCGGGUUGUAAACCGCUUUCAGCAGGGACGAAGCUUUUUGUGACGGUACCUGCAGAAGAAGCACCGGCUAACUACGUG
rnacentral:rRNA from 1 species